ACGUGACUAACCUACCCUGGAGUGGGGGAUAACUGAGGGAAACCUUAGCUAAUACCGCAUAACACCUACGGGUCAAAGGAGCAAUUCGCUUUGGGAGGGGGUCGCGGCCGAUUAGUUAGUUGGCGGGGUAAUGGCCCACCAAGACAGUGAUCGGUAUCCGGCCUGAGAGGGCGCACGGACACACUGGAACUGAAACACGGUCCAGACUCCUACGGGAGGCAGCAGUGGGGAAUAUUGCACAAUGGGGGAAACCCUGAUGCAGCCCAUGCCGCGUGUGUGAAAGAAGGCCCUUGGGUUGUA
rnacentral:rRNA from 1 species